UGUUACUUUAUGUAACUUUUAAUGAUAUUGUAAUAACCACAGGCGAGGUAGUGAGCGAAGUAAGCUUGAUAGCAGGUUUAUUGGAUUCCACAAUCGGACAGGCAGGCACAGCUCCACCGGAAAACUACAACAACCAAAACUCCCGCCCGGAAGGAAACCCCCGGAACCCCCUCUCAGAAGGCCCGCCUCUUCCUCCCAAACCCUGUGACGCUACAAUACAGGCCCCCAGGACUGGUGCAUAUUUCCCGAAUCCACCAGUGCUCAGAGGCCAAGCCUGGUAUUGCAGUCACUCCAAUACAAGUGGGGAGCAGGAAUGUGUCUCCGCAGAAAAUGUGUGGAUAUCAAAAAAAGGUCCCUUCAUCAUUUAUUUUAAAAUUUCAGCUUCGUUUCAAAGUAAAAACAAGGGCACUUUUAAGAGCCACGUUUGUCUAGUAGUUAAUUGUUGUCAGUCUCUCAGGUUCCCUGUGGUUCUUUCUCUUUCGCUCUUCCCCCAUCCCCCCCCCCUCCCCCUCCUUCCCCCUUCCCCCUUCCCCUUUAUUGGUGUUUUGUCAUUGUGUUGUCUUGUGUGUCUUGUUCAUCAUGAGUGACUGCUCCAAUGUCGAGCAGCUCGUUAAGGAGCUUGAUGAGCUUGUUGAUCAUUCUAAAUUAAAUGAUGAACUCCAGACCUUGGAAGGUUUCAUCAAUAAGAUGGAGGUAGAACGGGAGGCAGCACUAUCCACCAGCCAUCAACCGGUCCAGGAGGCCCCACCAUCCACCAGCCAUCAACCAGUCAUGUGGCUGAAGAGGGACAGUGAUGGAAAUGUUGUCUAUGACAGACCAAGAUCAUGCCGAAACCAAAUGGCUAGUCACAGCUACAGUCGCAAGACUGGUGCUCGUACUACAAUGUUGGAAAGCAGCGUUGAGAGAACCAACUACUGUCCUCCUGACACUGUUGAGUCUUUCCUUGAAGAGCUAAACUACUCACAGGAUGAUGACAUGGAUGAUCAGGAAACAGCACCAGCACCACCACGAGCUUCCUUAGACUGGUCUACUCGAAGGAGUCUCCUCUCAGAGAGGUGGGCGAAAGAGAGACCCCGGCUGGUGAAUACCAUGGUGGCACAACAAAAUGCGGAAACUGGGAUCUGCCAACAGUGUGGCAGCAGUCCAGCUGCUGUCCGUUGUCGUGACUGCCGACCUCACCCACUCUUAUGUGCUGAGUGUGAUGUCAGUUUACACAGAAACCAGGUGUUCCACAACAGGGAUGCAACAAUAGCUGGAUUCUUUCAGCCAUUGCCUCCAACAACCUGUGUCGUGGACAGGGUUCUUUCCCAGUGUGGUAAGCUGUAGCGUCAAAUUUAGGGCUGCACAAUUGUUGCAAUCGUAAUCGCAAUAUGAUCCAACGCAACUGCCCAAUCGUAUAAUCUGCAAAUAAUCAUGCAUAGGUACAUUUCUGUCAUUUGACUUUUAUAUUCACGUCAUCCUCCUUGACUGUGCCACUUAAUCGCAGUAAUCGCUUUAUCUGUCAAAAAAAACGCAAUUAUGUAUUUUCAAUAACUUCACAGUAUAAUAGGCUUCACAGGAAUAUUUUAAUUUAAGUACUUUCUCUGAAACACACUUAAUGAACUUUUAUCUUAAAGCUUUUCAAAGUAUUGAUUUUUAAAUGAUUACAGAAUACUUCCCAGUUAGUACAUAGGAUGAUGUAUGUCUUUAAUCCCUGCAUAUGAUGUGUCUUUCAGUGUGUAUUUUGCCGUUGGAGAUGCCCGAGAAAAUUUGUACUUGUUCUCCGGGAACGUUGAGUGUCAACCCAGGAAAAGUUGUUGCUGUGGUUACAAUAAAUGGACGAUAUGAUCUCUCUAUGCCUGAGAUGAAAUGCGAGGCAUGCAAAGCCACUUGGAGUGCUGGAGUCGAUGACUUGGUCCGUAAUGACUACUGGCCUGCGACCCUUCACUUCUCCACGGUGUACUCUACCGAUGUGUUGCAUUCAUACGAAGAGUUGAAGAUGGCAGCACCAGGACUUUCCUGUCAAGCCUUUUUGCGAAUGCUUGAUCAACGAACUGUCCGCUUCGGCCGUACUGGGAAGAUCACAGCAGACAGCUUCAGAAAAAGCUUUUUGGAGUGGGAGGCUGUUAGAUUUGAGGUCGACAAGAUAUGCAGGGAGGAGCCUUUUGUCUGUCCUGCAUGCACCCCAGACAUGCUUGCCGUUUCAGUGGACGGAAAUCGCAAGCACUACCGCUUUAAGAAUGCAGCAAGAUCUGAGGAGCAAGCCUUGUUUGAUGGCAUCUUCAUUGCUAAAGAUGAUGAAGUAGAGAGAUUUGUGGAUUACAUUCAUUCUACCACCAACCAUGUCUCUGGAAGAGGUGUCUGUGGAGGGGAGUGGUCAGCAGCCAGAGAAACAUCUCAGAGAUCCAGGAGUAAAAUUGAUGAGGAGGGACUUGAGCUUGCGGUGUGUCGACAUGGAGUUUUUCUCAGCGCUCUCAACAUGUUCAGGGGAGAAAUCUACGCGUAUCCCCUCUACCUGCAGAACAAGCUGGCAAAUAAGCCAAUAACCUUUUUUGCCAUGGAUGUUACAUGCAAGUACUGGCCCUACCUCAACAAAGUGGCAAAAAGCUGCCCGGAGCUCCAGCACCUUCUUGACAUGAAGCCAUUCCUGUCAGUGUUUCAUGCUAAAGCCCAUGACUUUAAAUGCGAGGUAAGAAAACAUUACCAUCUCAUUGACUGUCCCUGAACACCUGGAAAGGUAUGUUGGCAUAAAUAUUUUCUUUAAUAGGUUAAAUGGAGUGGAGCUUACCAGCAAGGGGCUGGAUUGACACUUGGGGAGGAGGUUGAGCAGUGCAACGCCUUCCUCUCUAGGAUUGCUGUUACGACAAAACAUAUGUCCAAAGCAGGUCGUACAGACAUGCUUACACUGAUGGCCAUGCGCUGGAAUCAGCAGAAGUUUAAUAACUUGGACACUUCACUUGCCCGCCGAUAUCAGAAG
ensembl:lncRNA